AGGGAAUCUUCCACAAUGGACGCAAGUCUGAUGGAGCAACGCCGCGUGAGUGAAGAAGGUUUUCGGACCGUAAAGCUCUGUUGUUGGUGAAGAAGGAUAGAGGUAGUAACUGGCCUUUAUUUGACGGUAAUCAACCAGAAAGUCACGGCUAACUACGUGCCAGCAGCCGCGGUAAUACGUAGGUGGCAAGCGUUGUCCGGAUUUAUUGGGCGUAAAGCGAGCGCAGGCGGAAGAAUAAGUCUGAUGUGAAAGCCCUCGGCUUAACCGAGGAAUUGCAUCGGAAACUGUUUUCUUGAAUGCAGAAGAGGAGAGUAGAACUCCAUGUGUAGCGGUGGAAUGCGUAGAUAUAUGGAAGAAUACCAGUGGCGAAGGCGGCUCUCUGGUCUGCAACUGACGCUGAGGCUCGAAAGCAUGGGUAGCGAACAGGAUUAGAUACCCUGGUAGUCCAUGCCGUAAACGAUGAGUGCUAAGUGUUGGGAGGCUUCCGCCUCUCAGUGCUGCAGCUAACGCAUUAAGCACUCCGCCUGGGGGAGUACGACCGCAAGGUUGAAAC
rnacentral:rRNA from 1 species